rnacentral:rRNA from 1 species
CCCCCCGAUGGGACAGCCCACAGCAAGUGAGCAAGUGUUCCUUCCUUUCGGGUAGCAGAGGUAGAGCAGUUGAGCGGUAGCGACUAAUGAUCAUGAUGAGUCAUUAGUAGUCGUCGAACAAUGUUGAGUAUGAGUGCGUUGAAACCUCGUCGCCGGCGGCUGCGGCUGCGGCGCAGGUACCUUUACCCGUUCUUUCGGUAGGCUAUGCGGCACCACCUGCGGAAGCGCUGACUCGGCAAGUUCCCGUUGGGGCGGCGCCACACGGAGGAGCUCCUGCUGUUGCGGCGCCUGCUCGCCACCUACGUCAGCCAACGGUGGCUCAAGUUGGAGAGCCUCUGGCGGAAGGAGCAGGCGCUGAAGAGGGCCGCGCGGUCGCGGCGCGGCGAGAAGGUGGAGGCUACCAAGUGAGGGCAGUGGCUCCAGCUGGACACACCCGUGCGCUGCAACCGGAGGCGGGUGAAGGAGAAGUGCCGGCAAGAGGGCCUCGUACCGUACUAGCUCAAGUACUGGUUCAGGCCAUAGGACUGACGCUUUUUUCAAGGGGGCGGUCCCCCGCGUCCGCUCCGGGUGCCCUUCGACAAAUAACUCGACUUAAAGGGGUACUAACUAAAGGACCCGACGUUGCUCUACGGCAGCUAAGGCCUCUGGGAUUUGCCGCGUGGUCACCAGUCACAAGUGUUUAGCCGCCGGCUGCCACUAGAGUAACACCUCGAAAGAAGUCGUGUUCUCCAACGGCUGUAGGAAGGAUUGUAGCUACUUUAAUUUUUCAACAGUACACCACCAUAGUACCAAUGUCCUGGCCGUGGACGACCUAGACCAAUACUGAAGAAGUGUGCAAAUAAGACGGGCUUUAAACCCUACCUACUCCUGGGACAGUGACCGUCAUAUGUAACACAUAACCCUGGGAUAACCCCAUCUUUCGAACCCUUCGUUUUUGACUGCCGUAAAGUUCGUAGAGGUUCCCCACCUUGCGAUAUGGACCUUGACCUACUGCGUUUAGCCUCUCACUUCUAGGUUCCUCUUUGACAAUGACAGUACUGGCCCUGCGAGGACCGCAUUGUACAGUAGAUCCGUACGAACGAAACAUCCCUUUAGUGACAGCCCGAACAUUAUACUUGUUAGCAACACCCGUUAAUGAGAUCCGACGAGACACCACCAAAAUCUUGAAGGUCGCCAAAGAACUUCCAGUGAGGCGGCCACAUACUAGACACGUUCCGGUGGUUAUAAAAGGUCAUUGGAGAAGGGUGUAUCAAUAUAGGAUCGUUUGCAAAGACGAUUUGGUGUGCGUUACCAACGAAUUUUAUAUGUAGCUGUUUUAGCGUCCUUACCGUCUAUACGAACCUUAGCUUGAUAGUUUCUGUUGGGUGGUGGGUACCUCAUCAUACUAGAAACUAUGAUAAACGUUAAGACAAACUACAAUAAACAUUACACCCUGAAUUUUUGAGGUCUCGAGAACACCAAAUGGACUUGUUACGGAACGUUCCGGUUCUGU